AUUGAACGCUGGCGGCAGGCCUAACACAUGCAAGUCGAGCGAGCGGCGGACGGGUGAGUAAUGGCUGGGAAACUGCCUGAUGGAGGGGGAUAACUACUGGAAACGGUAGCUAAUACCGCAUACCAUCAGAUGUGCCCAGAUGGGAUGUGAUAGUAGGUGGGGUAACGGCUCACUUAGGCAACGAUCCCUAGCUGGUCUGAGAGGAUGACCAGCCACACUGGAACUGAGCCACGGUCCAGACUCCUCCGGGAGGCAGCAGUGGGGAAUAUUGCACAAUGGGCGCAAGCCUGAUGCAGCCAUGCCGCGUGUGUGAAGAAGGCCGUCGGGUUGUAAAGCACUUUCAGCGGGGAGGCGUUACCCGCAGAAGAAGCACCGGCUAACUCCGUGCCAGCAGCCGCGGUAAUUC
rnacentral:rRNA from 1 species